rnacentral:rRNA from 1 species
GACGAACGCUGGCGGCGUGCCUAAUACAUGCAAGUCGAGCGAACAGAUGAGGAGCUUGCUCCUCUGACGUUAGCGGCGGACGGGUGAGUAACACGUGGAUAACCUACCUAUAAGACUGGGAUAACUUCGGGACACCGGAGCUAAUACCGGAUAAUAUAUUGAACCGCAUGGUUCAAUAGUGAAAGACGGUUUUGCUGUCACUAAUAGAUGGAUCCGCGCCGCAUUAGCUAGUUGGUAAGGUAACGGCUUACCAAGGCAACGAUGCGUAGCCGACCUGAGAGGGGGAUCGGCCACACUGGAACUGGGACACGCUCCAGACUCCUACGGGAGGCAGCAGUAGGGAAUCUUCGGCAAUGGGCGAAAGCCUGACGGAGCAACGCCGCGUGAGUGAGGAAGGUCUUCGGAUCGUAAAACUCUGUUAUUAGGGAAAAACAAAUGUGGAAGUAACUAUGCACGUCUUGACGGUACCUAAUCAGAAAGCCACGGCUAACUACGUG